AUCACAAAAUCUUCAUGUGGUGAAAUGCUGUUUUGAGCGGUAGGUGUGUAUAUAUAGAGAGCUUCCAUAGGCUAGUGUGCGAUCGCGUUAUUACGUCAUUUCUGUGUCUGGGUUUCCGGUAGUCCGCUGCUCUGUUCAAGGUAGGUGUUUGCUUGUCAUGGAUAUCGUUUGGUAUUCAUAUGGUUUGGUGACUUGACUCUUCUGUGCAGCUGGUGUCUGUUUGUGGUUACUCUAAGACUGCUUAAAAGUGUUGGCUCCCCUGCGUUAUCGCUAUACUUCCCGUAUGAAAAGAAAAUGCUGGAAUGUAUAACACAUUCGUGUGCUGUGAGGGACGGCUGCUCUCCCUCUAGUGAACUUUAAGAAAUUGGUCUGCUGGAUAUUUAAUCGGAGGUCCUGCUGGUUGGUAUGUAAACCCACUUAUGUCCCUAUGACCGCCCUGAAGGUAUGUUAUUUUAAUGAAAUUGUUUAAUGUAUUUUAGGCCGGUAAUUUGGGUGGGAUCUAUCGCUGCAUGGCCUAGUUCCAGCACUGCUGUUUUGCUUUAUUUUGUUUCUUUAUUUAUUAAUUUUUUGUUUGUUUGUUUGCUUGUUUUUGGGUUUGUUAUAUCCGACCUGUUUUCUCUUCUUUGUUCUAUGUUGUCUUUGUGUGUUUUGGAUUUAUUCAGUUUAAUCUGUUACUCUUGUCGAAUUCUUUUUCUUUGGUUUGUUAAUAAUCUUGUAGUUGUACGGCUCUGUUUUGUUUAGUGUCAUUUUUGUUUUUGAUAGCCAAGUACGUAAAAUAUAUUUUUGAGCCCUUUAAUAUAAUUUAUUUUGUUUCUUUUUUCUAAAGAUCCGUUAAAUUUUGUGAUUGUGUUUGGUUUUGUUGAUUGUGGUGUGAUUUAUAACUAGUGUUGUUUUGCCUUUGUAUUUUGAUUCCCUUUUUUUUGUUUUUUUUUGUUUGUUGUCGUUAUUAAUUUGUUUUUUUCCCCUUUCAUCUCUUUGUAGGAGCCGGGGUGACCCGAAGUGGAAAUUCUCCUUUCCCAAACUUGUGUGGUGUGGAUUUUCUUGCCGUGGAUUGCACUAAGUGUGUGGGUGCUUGUGAGAUUUUGUGCGCCGAGGGAUACUCAACGGAGGUUGUUGUGAAGCCCACUGCUUAGCCUGCCCUCCUCUGGGCGCACCCCAGCUCAGUGGAAACUAGUGUUGGGGAGGAUUCAACAUCUGUUGAGGCCCAUGUGAACGUUCUACAAAUUGAGUAUCGGAAGACUCAUCCAGACAUCUCGACUGUCAAAGACCGCAUGGCACGAACGUUCUCCUGGAAACUGAGACAUUGAGAAAUCAUGGAAGGAAUGUCUGUGGAGGAUGUAGUCAAAAAGUACUCACAAUUAAAAACGCCUGCUGAAGUGAGUAUUGAAAACACCUGAAUGUUACAAGGAGGCAAUCUAUUAUGAUUUUAGAAAUUGUGAAAUUGUCGAUUGCUGUCACAGAAAAUAAACAUUUUUUGAAAAUAUAUCUGUAAAGGCUACAGUAUAGAAACCUAACUGUAUUUUAUUAAAUAAAAUUGCUUUCAGUGAUGCACUGACUGUUAAUCAUGUCUUCACAUUCUACAGGUUUUUUUUUUUUUUUUUUUUUUUUUUUUUGAGAUUGGCCGAAUCGUUUCAGAGAGGACUUCGCUAGAGUUCUGCCAAAUGUGCUGAAAUUCGCUAAUGCAAAAUCCCCCCAAGCAAAACAGUACACUGAAACAAGACAGGAUGCCCUGGCUGAAGAUCUACCAGGUAGAGAUAGUCACUUUGCUAGUGAAACUCACAAUAUAUGUAAUUUGCUUUACCACAUUGCAAAAUAUGUGAUUGUGAAAGUAGGAUGUUUUUCCACAUUGCAGGAAAUGACUUGAGGGCUGGGCUUAUCUUCUUGCCAUCCAUCUUCAGAGAGGAGCUUGAACACUACAUUACUAUGAAAGAGGGAGACCCUGCUACACCCUUUCCAACCAUUCAACUGAUGAAUGCCCUCUUCCAAUGAUUGCCAUGUUCCAAUCGCAGUGUGGUGAUGGUAGAUGAAAUGGUUGUGUGCCAGUGCACCAGCCUUGACGAAGCCUUCAAGACAGUCUCUGUAUGUAUUUGUUUCAACAUUGCAUAUCCACCACACCUGAAGAUAUUUCUGAAGCCUACCUCUCUCAUAGUAAUGUAGUGUUCAAACUUUUCUCUGAAGAUGGAUGGCAAGAGGAUAACCCCAGAUAAGCCCAAUUCCUGAAUGUUGAAAAAUAUUCUACUUUCACACACAUUUUGCAAUGUUGUAAAGCAAAUUGCAUAUAUUGUGAGUUUCUCUAGCAAAGUGACUGUUUGGACGGAUCAAGUACAUUCUUAACUUUGAUACCACAUAGAUGAUUUGCAGUAAGAUCUUGCUUCCAUUGUCCUUUGAUUCACAUUUUCAUGCAUAUUGUGUAAGAGUAGACAGUGACUGGAUUUUGCUCAAACCUGGAGAUGAGUUGGAUCACACAUCGCUUGACACAUACAGUUGAUAAUCUGUAUGUUGGACUAAGACAUUUUGUAUAAAUGCUUGCUGAUCUUUGGCAAGGUCAUAUGAACAGGAUGCUUAGUGUACAAGUAUUAAUAGAGAGAAUUGUUGCCAAAAAUUAAACUUGUCAUUUACUCACCCUCAUGUUGUUCCAAACCUACAUGAAUUCUUUCUUCAGUUGAACACAGA